rnacentral:lncRNA from 10 species
UUUAAAGACACACAUUUAUUAUCUCACAGUUUCUAUAAGUCAGAAGUCCAGGCAUAGUGUAGUUAUGUUCUCUGCUUUAAGAGCUCACCAGAUUUUAAUCUAGGUGUUUGCUGAGGAUGUGGUCUCAUCAAAGGUUUGAGCGGUGCUAUGGUUUGAAUGUUUGUCUGCUCCAAAACUCAUGUUGAAAUUUGGUUCCCACCGUGGUGGUAUUAGAAUAUGAGAAUUUUGGGAAGCAAAAGGGCCAUGAGGGCUCUGCCUUCCUAUGUGGGAUUAAUGCUCUUAUAAAAGAGUGAGUUUGGUCUUCUUUUUCCUCUGUGCUCUUCUGCCAUGUGAGGACAUGUUGUUCCUCUCUGUUGGAGGAUGUUGCAAGAAGGCCAUUGUCAGAUGCUGGUGGCUUUAUCUUGGACUUCCCAGCCUGCAAAA